UUUCCGUAGGUGAACCUGCGGAAGGAUCAUUAUCGUACAAAAUGUGAGGGGCAUGCGAGGGCUGUCGCUGACCAAAAGUCGUGCACGCCCGAGUGUGUCCUCUUGCAUAAUAAUCCAUCUCACCCUUUGUGCAUCACCGCGUGGGCACCCUUCGGGAUCAUCUCGGAGGGGGGCUCGCGUUUUCACACAAACCCCCCUUUUAAAAAUGUAGAAUGACCACAUUUAUGCAAUCAAUACAACUUUCAACAACGGAUCUCUUGGCUCUC
rnacentral:misc_RNA from 1 species